AGUGAACGCUGGCGGUAGGCCUAACACAUGCAAGUCGAACGGCAGCACAGUAAGAGCUUGCUCUUACGGGUGGCGAGUGGCGGACGGGUGAGGAAUACAUCGGAAUCUACUUUUUCGUGGGGGAUAACGUAGGGAAACUUACGCUAAUACCGCAUACGACCUACGGGUGAAAGCAGGGGAUCUUCGGACCUUGCGCGAUUGAAUGAGCCGAUGUCGGAUUAGCUAGUUGGCGGGGUAAAGGCCCACCAAGGCGACGAUCCGUAGCUGGUCUGAGAGGGUGAUCAGCCACACUGGAACUGAGACACGGUCCAGACUCCUACGGGAGGCAGCAGUGGGGAAUAUUGGACAAUGGGCGCAAGCCUGAUCCAGCCAUACCGCGUGGGUGAAGAAGGCCUUCGGGUUGUAAAGCCCUUUUGUUGGGAAAGAAAAGCAGCAGGUUGAUACCCCGCUGUUCUGACGGUACCCAAAGAAUAAGCACCGGCUAACUUCGUG
rnacentral:rRNA from 1 species